UACGUAGGUGGCAAGCGUUGUCCGGAUUUACUGGGCGUAAAGCGCGUGUAGGCGGCUCGUUAAGUCUGUCGUGAAAUCUCCCGGCUCAACCGGGAUAGGUCGACGGAUACUGGCGGGCUUGAGGGGAGCAGAGGAAGGUGGAAUUCCCGGUGUAGUGGUGAAAUGCGUAGAUAUCGGGAGGAACACCAGUGGCGAAGGCGGCCUUCUGGGCUCUACCUGACGCUGAGACGCGAAAGCGUGGGGAGCGAACCGG
rnacentral:rRNA from 1 species